UUCGAUAAUCCGCGAGUUACCUUACCAAAACUAGCUUUUUCAGGUGUUGCAUGGCCGUCGUCAAUUUAUGUUUGAUACAAUAAAUUAAACCCUAGAAAGGUUGAAGUCAGGUAUUAUUGCCCUUAUGUUUUGGGGUUAAAUGCGCUACAUUUUUUUUUUAAUAAAAAAAAAGAGUUCGGAUUGUCUUUAAAAGAGGAUAAUUAAGUAGAAUUUAAUAGUAAUUGAAAAGUAGAGCGUUUCAAUGAAUUUGCCGCAAUGUUAGUACAAAUUGCCCGUCGCCUCUACUGAGGUAAACAAAGUAGAGUAAGUCGUAACAUAGUAAGGGUGAGGGAACUGGCCCUUGAUGCCCAAAGAUUAAUAAUAUCAAUUACUACCUUGUAGUUAAAAAAUUAAUAAAAGAAUAUCGUAAGGAGCGGAUCUAUGAUAUAAAUUGUAGGCGGGGUAAAGGUAACGAUAGACUUUUGUUUGGUGGGGGGGG
rnacentral:rRNA from 1 species